GAUGAACGCUAGCGGCAGGCUUAAUACAUGCAAGUCGAGGGGCAGCAUGAUUGUAGCAAUACAAUUGAUGGCGACCGGCAAACGGGUGCGGAACACGUACACAACCUCCCAAUAAGUGGGGAAUAGCCCAGAGAAAUUUGGAUUAAUACCCCGUAACAUAACGAUGUGGCAUCACAUUGUUAUUAUAGAUUUUUCGCUUAUUGAUGGGUGUGCGGCUGAUUAGAUAGUUGGAGGGGUAACGGCCCACCAAGUCUACGAUCAGUAGCUGAUGUGAGAGAAUGAUCAGCCACACGGGCACUGGGACACGGGCCCGACUCCUACGGGAGGCAGCAGUAAGUAAUAUUGGACAAUGGACGCAAGUCUGAUCCAGCCAUGCCGCGUGAAGGAUUAAGGUCCUCUGGAUUGUAAACUUCUUCUAUAAGGGACGAAAAAAGGCUUUUCUAAGUCGUCUGACGGUACCUUAUGAAUAAGCACCGGCUAACUCCGUGCCAGCAGCCGCCGUAACAC
rnacentral:rRNA from 1 species